AUACACCACCCAUGAGGAUGACCUGGUGAACCUUGCUCUGGUGCUUGGUGGUGAUGUCUCUCAGCAGAAUGACAAACGCCAGUUAGAAGGUUCUCCUCCUCGGUUCCCCACCCUAGCCCAUGUGACCUCAGGGUUGGGCCCUUGAUUUCUACAGGAUGGCUCAUUUUGUCCACUCUUGGCUCUGGUCUCAGCUGUACGUGUGUUGGAGUUUUCCUUGAUAAAGAGGCCCCAGAGAGCUUGUGCAGCUACGGUUGUUGUUUGCAAUGCAGACCUCUUCCUGCCAGCAGCAUCCAGCACUCCCGGAGGCUGCACACUCUGAGGUCACUGUGUGGGUCACAGCCAUCCUCUUCCUCAGGGUGCCCAGCAUAUAGCACUGGAGUUACAAGCGUGUGUGGCCAUGCAAGGCUUGUGCAUGGCUGUUAGCAGUAGAACUCAGGUCCUAAGGCUUAUUAUCAGCGGAGUCAUCUUCACAGCCAUCAUGGGGUCCACGAACCAGGAGUCUAGUGUGGAUACGGCUCACGUUUUCUUGCACUUCGCCUUCUGAGUAACUUCUGACCAUCUCUUGCCAGCAAGGAAGUGGAGGUGAAUGAAGUGGCUAAGAACAGGUCGUGUUUAACAGAGCUGGAGGCACCAGGAAGACAGCACGGGGCUCUGAUGGAACUUCCAAGCAUGUUCAGUGAACAGACAGCUUCUGGACAGAAUCUACCGACCGGCCAGUGGUGGACGGACAGAAGUCCCAAGCUUUCCGGGCACCAGACACUGAAGGAUGGGGCUGCCCUUCCUGAAGAUGUGGACUUUGAGUGGAGCAGCAGCUAGUUAAGUCUUCAGCAAACAGUGAGGCUGGCUGUCCACACCCAAGCAUGGCAUCCAGGUUCCUGGAAAGGGGC